rnacentral:rRNA from 1 species
UUAACACAUGCAAGUCGAGCGAGAAGUUUUGAAAAGAUUCUUCGGAUGAAAUUUAAAAUGGAAAGCGGCGGACGGGUGAGUAACGCGUAGGCAACCUGCCCCAUACAAAGGGAUAGCAUUUGGAAACGAAUAUUAAUACCUUAUGAAACUUAACUAGUGCAUGCUAGGUAGGUCAAAGAUUUAUCGGUAUGGGAUGGGCCUGCGUCUGAUUAGCUAGUUGGUGAGGUAACGGCUCACCAAGGCGACGAUCAGUAGCCGACCUGAGAGGGUGAACGGCCACAUUGGAACUGAGACACGGUCCAAACUCCUACGGGAGGCAGCAGUGGGGAAUAUUGCACAAUGGGGGAAACCCUGAUGCAGCAACGCCGCGUGAACGAUGAAGGCCUUUGGGUCGUAAAGUUCUGUUCUAGGUGAUGAAAACUGACAGUAACCUAGGAGAAAGCCCGGU